CCUACGGGAGGCAGCAGUGGGGAAUAUUGGACAAUGGGGGGAACCCUGAUCCAGCCAUGCCGCGUGUGUGAAGAAGGCCCUCGGGUUGUAAAGCACUUUCAGUGAGGAAGAACGCCUGGUGGUUAAUACCCAUCAGGAAAGACAUCACUCACAGAAGAAGCACCGGCUAACUCCGUGCCAGCAGCCGCGGUAAUACGGAGGGUGCGAGCGUUAAUCGGAAUUACUGGGCGUAAAGCGCGCGUAGGUGGCUUGAUAAGCCGGUUGUGAAAGCCCCGGGCUCAACCUGGGAACGGCAUCCGGAACUGUCAAGCUAGAGUGCAGGAGAGGAAGGUAGAAUUCCCGGUGUGGCGGUGAAAUGCGUAGAGAUCGGGAGGAAUACCAGUGGCGAAGGCGGCCUUCUGGACUGACACUGACACUGAGGUGCGAAAGCGUGGGUAGCAAACAGGAUUAGAUACCCGAGUAGUC
rnacentral:rRNA from 1 species